GAUGAAGAACGUAGCGAAAUGCGAUAAGUAAUGUGAAUUGCAGAAUUCAGUGAAUCAUCGAAUCUUUGAACGCACAUUGCGCCCGCCAGUAUUCUGGCGGGCAUGCCUGUUCGAGCGUCAUUUCAACCAUCAAGCCCCCGGCUUGUGUUGGGGACCUGCGGCUGCCGCAGGCCCUGAAAACCAGUGGCGGGCUCGCUAGUCACUCCGAGCGUAGUAAUACAUCUCGCUCAGGGCGUGCUGCGGGUUCCGGCCGUUAAAAAGCCUUAUUUACCCAAGGUUGACCUCGGAUAAGGUAGGAAGACCCGCUGAACUUAAGCAUAUCAAUAAGCGGAGGA
rnacentral:misc_RNA from 1 species